CACCUGAAGGGGGUUUAGGCCCGGGAGAUCCGAGUCCAUCCGCGGCGGGGAGAGGGCAAGCGGGGUGGGCAGGGGCCGGAGCAGGGGCGGGGGCGCUCGGACUGCCCCAUCCGUCCCGUAUUGAGGCGUUGGAAGCGGCGGGGCGGCCGGAAAGCGAUGGUGAAAGCGGGGCCGUGAGGGGGGCGGAGCCGGCAGCCGGACCCGCAGUAGCGGCAGCAGCGGCACCGCCUCCCCGAGCUCAGACCCAGGAAGCGGCCGGGAGGGCAGGAGUGAACCGGUCGCGCCGCCGCCACCGCCACCGCCAUGGAGCUCAGAGUGGGGAACAGAUACCGGCUGGGCCGGAAGAUCGGCAGCGGCUCCUUCGGAGACAUCUAUCUCGGUACGGACAUUGCUGCAGGAGAAGAAGUUGCCAUCAAGCUUGAAUGUGUCAAAACCAAACACCCUCAGCUCCACAUUGAGAGCAAAAUCUACAAAAUGAUGCAGGGAGGAGACUUGUGUGAACGCUGACCUGGAGCUUGCUGCCGGUCCUCCUGUGCCGCCUUGGUCAUGCCCGCAGCUUUGGGAUGGUCCCUGCAGACUCUCCUGAGUGAGACCCCUUCUAGCUCAGUUACUGUCCCCAUUCUGUGAAACCUCCCCUUGGGCCUGAGGGUACCUGAUAUCAGAGUGCCCAUCCUGAUUUCAGAGUCUACCUUUUAGAAUUCUCUGGACUUUGAGAUUGUUUGGCUAAUGAAGCAGGAGGGGGUUUUAUUGGGGGUCUCAGAGUCCUGAAGACACUGCAGCAUUUUGAAGGCUGUGCCUGUGCUGCUCCCCAAGGAGCUCAGGAAGCCCAGGCACAGCCCUGAAUGUCCUGAGCUUUCUCUGGGGACAGGGCUUCGUGUGUGAAGAAUAGCUGUGUUAUUUCCUUUUGGAUACCCUGGGAAGCAGAAGCCCCCAUGAUACUUUCAUAGUUGCGGGGGUGGGGUGGGGAAGGCUCUUGGCACCUUGCCAAAAGAAAGCUUAUCUUCAGAGUCUGUGUUGGUCCUUUGGUCAGGUGGAAAGGGAGGACUGGUGAUGUGACUUCUUGACAUCUUUGCUUCACAAAGCAGUUUAAUCUGUCCUACUUACUACCAGAAAACAGCAUAUCUCAGUUGACACAGCACAGGGUGUCUCUUUAGCAGCAGAUAUAUCUUAAAGCAACACAAACAGUCCUAUAAGAUGACUGCAGAAGGGGGUGUCCAGUGCCGCUUGUCUCGGGCAUUAUGGGACCAGAGGAGGCUGUGGGUUCUCAGAUGGCACAUAGGGAGGAAACUCCCUGGCCCCUCCUGUGCCCAAGGAGACGUUGGCAGAGGACCCUGCCAGUGUGUCUGUCCUCUGGCGGCCCUCAGCAGGCUUCUCAGGCAUCAGGGAUGGUCUACACAGCUUUUAAGGUGGUGAUGAGUAGGAAGAGGUGACUUGGUUUGUGGCCUUCGUGGUGGGAGGAGCUUGGUGCUGGGGGUUGGAUGAAACCUUCUGACUGAAAAGCUUGUGUGUUUGAGGAGCAGCAUCUCUGAGAACUCGAAAGCUGGGCCCCCAGGGAUGGAGGGAAGAAGAGCUGACACCCAGGGAGGAGCUAGUGUAGUAGAUUGAGACUCAACAGAGGGGGACUUCCCUGGUGGCUCAGUGAUUAAGAAUCUGCCUGCCAAAGCAGGGGACACGGGUUCGAGCCCUGGUCCGGGAAGAUCCCACAUGCCACGGAGCAACUAAGCCUGAGCACCACAACUACUGAGCCUGCGCUCUAGAGCCCGCGAGCUACAACUGCUGAGCCCGUGUGCCACAACUACUGAAGCCCGCGUGCCUAGAGCCCGUGCUCUGCAACAAGAGAAGCCACUGCAACGAGAAGCCCAAGCACUGCAACGAAGAGUAGUAGCCCCUGCUCGCCGCAACUAGAGAAAGCCCGCACGCAGCAACGAAGACCCAGCGCAGCCAAAAAGAAAUAAAUGAAUGAAUAACUUUUUUAAACGACUCAACGGCGGGAAUUCCCUGACAGUCCAGUGGUUAGGACUCUGUGCUUUCACUACCAGGGGCGUGGGUUCAGUCCCUGGUCAGGGAACUAAGAUCCUGCAAGCCCUGUGGCGCAGCCAAAAAAAAAAAAAAAAAAAAAGACUCAACAGAAAGGAGUUUAUUUGUUUUAGAGCAAGGUCUCUCCUCAGAAGCAUAGCCGUUUGUUGUGGAAGCUGUCUUCUGCAUGGAGGACAGGGAGCAGCAUCCUAGGUGCCAGUACCCCCCCCCCCCACCAACCUCCAAGUUAGGAUGAUCAGAAAUGUCUCCAGAUGCUGCUAAAUGCCCCUGGGUGCACUGUUGCUUCCUGUUUUGACCCCCUGCUUUAGGAUGUAAAGGAUCACUUGUUCUCCUGGUCUUCCCAUGCCCCUUCUCUAGGAUCCUGGAAACCCACUGGGAAUAGAUCCAGAAAUAGAUCUUCUCCUGUCUGGCCCUUCCCCACACAUAGGUCAGGUUUUACUCCUGUUUCAGAUACACACUUGGUGAAUACUGUCAGGAUGUAAAUUUCUGUUUUAGAAAACAGAUUCUGUCCAGGAGAGCAGAGAGCACCAUCUUGCUACUGUUCUGUGAGCUUGUCCUAGCCAAGAUAAAGCUGGGAUGGCAGAGGAGAUAGAGGUCGGCUCUGCCCAGAAACGUCACAGCUCUGCUGUUGACCAGCCUUCUGCAUCCAUCUCAUGUGGGUGCAUCUCUGAUCGUGGCUCUUUUUAUGUUAAGUUCUGGGCUUCGUUGCAGAUGGUUGAUAUUGACGGCAUCGUAGGAGAAAGCUCGAAGCCCAGGGCCUGCCUUGCCCUCUCUAGCUCGUAGUACAGGGUUGCCCGGGAUGCUGCCUCAUGAGGGUGGCCUUGCAGUGCUUGGCUAGAGACAGCUGCUGUGCUGGGUCACUCAGGUCCCCUAGGGGAAGGGUUAGCAUUAAAAACAAAAACAUGUUUUGGGGGUGGAUGAAAUGGGUAAAGGGGUUCGGUUGUAUGGUGACAUUUGAUAACCAGACUUAUUGUGAUGAUCACCUUUUAUUAGUGAAUACAAAGAUUGAAUUGUGUUGUACACUUGAAACUAAUAUGUUAUAUACCAAUUUUACCUGAAUAAAAACAAAAACAAACACACGCUAGUGUCAGGUAUUGUUAAGAGCGUUUUUAAACACGCGGGCACGUUCUCCGCCACACAGUCGUGUGCAGUAGGUAUCAUCAGCCUCUUGUAACAAAUGAGGAAACUGAGGCUGUGUCCAAAGGACACAGAUUUGAACUUGAGCAUUGUAGGUCCCAGGCCACUCCUGCACAGCGGCCCUCCAUGGUGGUCAGCGAUCAAGAACGUGCCCCAGGGCUUCCCUGGUGGAGCAGUGGUUAAGAAUCCACCUGCCAGUGCAGGGGACACAGGUUCGAGCCCUGGUCCGGGAAGAUCCCACGUGCCGCGGAACAACUAAGCCCGUG